AUUGAACGCUGGCGGCAUGCUUUACACAUGCAAGUCGAACGGUAACAGGCCGCAAGGUGCUGACGAGUGGCGAACGGGGGAGUAAUGCAUCGGAACGUGCCCAGUCGUGGGGGAUAACGCAGCGAAAGCUGCGCUAAUACCGCAUACGAUCUAUGGAUGAAAGCGGGGGACCGUAAGGCCUCGCGCGAUUUGAGCGGCCGAUGUCAGAUUAGGUAGUUGGUGGGGUAAAGGCUAACCAAGCCGACGAUCCGUAGCUGGUCUGAGAGGACGACCAGCCACACUGGGACUGAGACACGGCCCAGACUCCUACGGGAGGCAGCAGUGGGGAAUUUUGGACAAUGGGCGCAAGCCUGAUCCAGCAAUGCCGCGUGCAGGAAGAAGGCCUUCGGGUUGUAAACUGCUUUUGUACGGAACGAAAAGGCUCUGGUUAAUACCUGGGGCUCAUGACGGUACCGUAAGAAUAAGCACCGGCUAACUACGUGCCAGCAGCCGCCGUAAAAC
rnacentral:rRNA from 1 species